ACAAAUCCAAUAAUUGCUUAAGAACGCUUGUUCUUUUUGCAAAUAUUAAUCCGCUGGCCGCUCUUAGAGCAGCUGGCUGUGAUAUAAAUGCGUGUUAUGUUGACAGUGUGUGUAUAGUUAAAAUUGA
rnacentral:misc_RNA from 1 species